GUCAGGAAGACAAAUACAUUUUUUAUUUGUACCUGCUACUAAACUACACAAAAUGUAAAAAAUCAGUUGAGUAAUUCCAUGUUUUUAUGCACAUACCACUGAUGGGAGGACUAAAAGGGUGCAGCAGAAUGGCAGACGUGAUUCAGAAUAUAUUAGCUCCUGGAGCGUGCUGUGGAGGUUCUGCCGCUUUUCGUCAUCGUGGAAAUCCAGAUUUGUCACCAGAACCUGGCAGCAAAGAGGAAAGCGAAGAACGCCACGAGAGCUGUGAGAGGAAAAAGCAGACAUUGCAGCGCCUGUCGAACACUUUGGGACAGCAGGAUCUCAUGUCUCAAUCGUUGCUUUCCAAAGGCCACGGCUCCACUGGUGACAAU